AGAGUUUGAUCAUGGCUCAGGAUGAACGCUGGCGGCGUGCCUAAUACAUGCAAGUCGAACGAGGUGCUUUUGUAGCAAUACGAGAGUAUCCUAGUGGCGAACGGGUGAGUAACGCGUUGGUGACCUACCCCAAAGUGUGGGAUAACAGUCCGAAAGGAUUGCUAAUACCGCAUGUGGUCAUUGGAUUUAGAAACUGAUGACUAAAGGAGCAAUUCGCUUUGGGAGGGACCUGCGUCCCAUCAGCUAGUUGGUGAGGUAACGGCUCACCAAGGCGACGACGGGUAGGGGACCUGAGAGGGUGGCCCCCCACAAUGGAACUGAAACACGGUCCAUACACCUACGGGUGGCAGCAGUAGGGAAUAUUGCACAAUGGGCGAAAGCCUGAUGCAGCAACGCCGCGUGUGUGAUGAAGGCCUUCGGGUCGUAAAGCACUUUUCUGGGAGAUGAGAAAGGACAGUAUCCCAGGAAUAAGUCUCGGCUAACUACGUGCCAGCCGCCGCGGUAAUUC
rnacentral:rRNA from 1 species